rnacentral:rRNA from 1 species
UACGAAGGGUGCAAGCGUUAGUCGGAAUUACUGGGCGUAAAGCGUGCGUAGGCGGUUUCCUAAGUCGGAUGUGAAAGCUCUGGGCUCAACCUGGGAAUGGCACUCGAUACUGUGAAGCUGGAGUGCGGUAGAGGAGGGUGGAAUUCCCGGUGUAGCGGUGAAAUGCGUAGAGAUCGGGAGGAACAUCAGUGGCGAAGGCGGCAUCCUGGACCGGCAUUGACGCUGAGGCGCGAAAGCUAGGGGAGCAAACGGG